GAUGAACGCUGACAGAAUGCUUAACACAUGCAAGUCGAUUCAAAGUUCCCUUCGGGGAAUGGAGGAUGGCGGACGGGUGAGUAACGCGUAAGGAACUUGCCUUUUGGCCUGGGACAACUGUUGGAAACGACAGCUAAUACCGGAUAUUAUGAGAUUCUCGCAUGGGAAACUUAUGAAAGCUAUAUGCGCCAAAAGAGAGCCUUGCGUUCCAUUAGCUAGUUGGUGGGGUAACGGCCCACCAAGGCGACGAUGGAUAGCCGGCCUGAGAGGGUGAACGGCCACAAGGGGACUGAGACACGGCCCUUACUCCUACGGGAGGCAGCAGUGGGGAAUAUUGGACAAUGGGCCACAAGCCUGAUCCAGCAAUUCUGUGUGCACGAUGAAGGUUUUCGGAUCGUAAAGUGCUUUCAGUUGGGAAGAAGAAAGUGACGAUACCAACAGAAGAAGCGACGGCUAAAUACGUGCCAGCAGCCGCGGUAAUACGUAUGUCGCAAGCGUUAUCCGGAUUUAUUGGGCGUAAAGCGCGUCUAGGCGGAAAAGAAAGUCUGAUGUUAAAAUGCGGGGCUCAACUCCGUAUUGCGUUGGAAACUGCUUUUCUAGAGUACUGGAGAGGUGGGCGGAACUACAAGUGUAGAGGUGAAAUUCGUAGAUAUUUGUAGGAAUGCCGAUGGAGAAGUCAGCUCACUGGACAGAUACUGACGCUAAAGCGCGAAAGCGUGGGGAGCAAACAGG
rnacentral:rRNA from 1 species